rnacentral:rRNA from 1 species
GACGAACGCUGGCGGCGUGCUUAACACAUGCAAGUCGUACGGUAAGGCCCUUUCGGGGGUACACGAGUGGCGCACGGGUGAGUAACACGUGAGUAACCUGCCCACAACUUUGGGAUAACGCUAGGAAACUGGUGCUAAUACUGGAUAUGUGCUCCUGCUGCAUGGUGGGGGUUGGAAAGCUCCGGCGGUUGUGGAUGGACUCGCGGCCUAUCAGCUUGUUGGUGGGGUAGUGGCCUACCAAGGCGGCGACGGGUAGCCGGCCUGAGAGGGUGACCGGCCACAUUGGGACUGAGAUACGGCCCAGACUCCUACGGGAGGCAGCAGUGGGGAAUAUUGCACAAUGGGCGCAAGCCUGAUGCAGCAACGCCGCGUGCGGGAUGACGGCCUUCGGGUUGUAAACCGCUUUCAGCAGGGACGAAGCUUUUUGUGACGGUACCUGGAGAAGAAGCACCGGCUAACUACGUG